rnacentral:rRNA from 1 species
GAUCAGGCAAGAUCACCCGCUGAACUUAAGCAUAU